GGUAGCCGGCCUGAGAGGGCGACCGGCCACACUGGGACUGAGACACGGCCCAGACUCCUACGGGAGGCAGCAGUGGGGAAUAUUGCACAAUGGGCGAAAGCCUGAUGCAGCGACGCCGCGUGAGGGAUGACGGCCUUCGGGUUGUAAACCUCUUUCAGCAGGGAAGAAGCGAAAGUGACGGUACCUGCAGAAGAAGCGCCGGCUAACUACGUGCCAGCAGCCGCGGUAAUACGUAGGGCGCAAGCGUUGUCCGGAAUUAUUGGGCGUAAAGAGCUCGUAGGCGGUCUGUCGCGUCGGAUGUGAAAGCCCGGGGCUUAACCCCGGGUCUGCAUUCGAUACGGGCAGACUAGAGUGUGGUAGGGGAGAUCGGAAUUCCUGGUGUAGCGGUGAAAUGCGCAGAUAUCAGGAGGAACACCGGUGGCGAAGGCGGAUCUCUGGGCCAUUACUGACGCUGAGGAGCGAAAGCGUGGGGAGCGAACAGGAUUAGAUACCCUGGUAGUCCACGCCGUAAACGGUGGGAACUAGGUGUUGGCGACAUUCCACGUCGUCGGUGCCGCAGCUAACGCAUUAAGUUCCCC
rnacentral:rRNA from 1 species